ensembl:lncRNA
CGGCGCAACCACAUUCAUAGAACUUUUAUUUUGAAGUGAUGAGGUAAAAGAGUGGACAGGAUAUUGCAUCAUCAAGAGGACCCCAACUGACCUUUACUGAUGAGUGAAAGGAUCCAGAUCUCAUUGGAAAGUUUGUUUUGGUGAAAUAUGAGGAGCAGCCAUUUGUGGGGCAGGUUCUUCAGGUGGUUGAUGAGGAGAUUGAGGUCAGCUGCAUGCAGCAGUUGGGCAAAAAAAAUGUUUUUACUUGGCCCCAUCCUGCAGAUGUGAUAUAUUACUACCUAACCAAUGUUCUCCAAGUUCUGUCAGAACCAGAGCCUCUUAAUUCACACAGCUUACACAUGCAGGCUGGGUAAGCUCACUGUAAAUAAGAAAUUACAGUGAAAACACACCGGGCGCAUAGAGCCCGCGUUACAUAGAUAAGUGCCUAAUCCCAGGCCUGGCAGGUCACAAAACGAUCGCUGUUAAACAUUUCAGAAUGUCAUGUUAAGAAAAGCUUUUCUAGUUGUUUGUUGUUAUGAUUAUCCAUGUUUAUCUAGUGUAAGUUAUAUUUUGCAAUCCUGUUACUAUUUGAGGGGAUUAACUUUUUAAUUCCCAGUAUCUUUGAUGGAUUUACAUAUUUAAAAUACAUAUUUUCAGUGGACAUAAGCAGAUGUGUUGUUUUUUAACCAAACUAAAACAUGACUGCCGUUCAACUACAGUAAAAUCUAAUUAAUUAGUCAAUUCUAUUCAUUGUAGCCUAUUCAGUUUCUACCGAAUAAGAAGUGUCAUUUUUGUCAUAUAAUGUUGCCCAAACAAUGUUGUUUGUGAUCAGUUUGAUACGGUUUACUUAAAUGGACUGAUAACCAGUUUUUAAUCUUUACCAAUUGUUCUUUAAUAGACUGUUAACAAAGACACCUGUGAUUUUCUUAUUCUGUAUUGUAAUUAAAAUGCAAUUAUUCAACAUAUUUCUUGUCAUCAUGAAUCUUGUCAUGCGGCACAACCGCAUCGUCAGGUGGUGCAAUCAGGUAAAAUUCUACUUUAAACCAAG